rnacentral:rRNA from 1 species
AUGACAAUUUUUGAUAUGGCUCAAGGUGCCAUCGCGGGGAGAGAGCCGAAGCGCUGCCUGCUCGCCCGCACUGGUGCGGCUGGCUUCGGGGCCGCCUCUCUACUCGUGGUCCUCGCGCGCCGCGGCGAGCAACAAGACGCCGCGCUCCAAGUGAACUCAACGACGAGGACAUUAACGAAGGAAAAGCUCAAUGAAUGGCAUGGCAUGGAUGAGAAAAGUGGACCCCUCAAAAUACUAAGGAUAAAAGGAUUGGCUCAAGCUCAAAGCUCAAGACUCUACAUUUUAUAUUUUAGUGAUCCAAGAUCACAUUGA